AUAUGAAAUUAUGCAACAAAUUAGCCACACAGUGACCAAAAAAGGGAUGUACUAUUGAGAAACAAAAUCCACGGACCUCAAUCACGGCGUGGUGAAUGCUGAUGAUAAUAGAUUCUCCUGAACUUGAAGUACAUUGUUGUCGUGCUGCUGAUCCAACGUUUGCAGAGGUUUCUGUUGUGUUCACAGUUCACACACAAAUGGAACUGAAACUACUUCUAAUAACGGUUUUAAUGAUGGUGUCACUUUCUGCAACUGCAGCAGCUGAUUACAUUCGACCUCAGCCUCGAAAAACCUUCCAUCUCCCAUGGCAUUCUAAACCCUCCUCUUACCCUCAACAGGUACACAUUUCUUUAGCAGGAGAACAGCACAUGAGAGUUACCUGGAUUACUGAUGAUAACUCUGCACCUUCAAUUGUAGAAUAUGGAACAUCACCAGGGCGAUAUGACUCUGUAGCUGAAGGAGAAACCACCUCUUACAGUUAUCUGUUGUAUAGCUCAGGAAAGAUACACCAUACUGUAAUUGGGCCUUUAGAGCAUAAUUCUGUGUACUAUUACCGAUGUGGUGGACAAGGUCCUCAGUUCCAGCUCAGAACUCCUCCAGCUCAACUUCCAAUCACUUUUGCCGUGGCUGGUGAUUUGGGUCAAACCGGAUGGACUAAAUCAACAUUGGAUCACAUUGACCAAUGUAAAUAUAAUGUUCACCUGCUUCCGGGAGACCUUUCAUAUGCUGAUUAUAUCCAGCAUCGCUGGGACUCGUUUGGUAGGCUAGUGCAGCCACUUGCUAGUGCUAGACCAUGGAUGGUAACACAAGGAAACCAUGAAGUAGAGAGCAUACCUUUGUUAAAGGAUGGGUUUUUGUCCUAUAAUUCCAGAUGGAAAAUGCCAUUUGAGGAAAGCGGAUCAAAUUCAAAUCUCUAUUAUUCGUUUGAAGUUGCAGGUGUUCACAUUAUCAUGCUUGGGUCCUAUGCAGAUUAUGAUGAGUACUCUGAACAAUAUGGAUGGCUAAAGGAAGAUCUGUCAAAGGUGGAUAGGGAAAGGACACCUUGGUUGAUUGUGUUAUUUCAUGUACCAUGGUAUAAUAGUAACACAGCUCAUCAAGGUGAAGGGGCUGAUAUGAUGGCAUCUAUGGAGCCAUUGCUUUAUGCUGCUAGCGCCGAUUUAGUUCUUGCCGGUCAUGUGCAUGCUUAUGAACGCUCAAAACGUGUAUACAAUAAAAGACUUGAUCCUUGUGGUUCAGUCCAUAUAACCAUCGGUGAUGGAGGAAACAAAGAAGGUUUAGCUCCUAAGUAUAUAAAUCCACAGCCAAUAUGGUCAGAAUUCCGUGAAGCCAGUUUUGGUCAUGGUGAGCUACAGAUUGUAAACUCUACGCAUGCUUUCUGGAGUUGGCACAGGAAUGAUGAUGAUGAGCCAGUAAAAUCCGAUGAUAUCUGGAUAACAUCUUUGACCUGCUCAGGAUGUGUUGAUCAGAAGAGAAAUGAACUCAGGAAUAAACUUAUGACACCUUAAAAUCCCCUGAUCUUGUUAUUUCUCAACGACAGAAUAGCAAGAGUUUGGUCGUGUAUGCAAAUCAUGAGACAAUUCCUCAUACUAGUAAAUAGCACUAAAUUAGAAGCAUGAGUAGUUUGACCUUGGGUCCUUGGACAUGAUGCUGUUGCUUGUUAUGGGAAAAUGGUAAACUUUCUUAUUAGAUAUUUUGGAGGAUGGAGGGUAUUGUCUAGACCCUUUUCAUAUUCAAAAUUGGCCAAGGUUCUAAUAUCCAAGGAGGGGAUGAACACGUGAUUGGCAUUUGGCAAGUUGGUGAAGUUUCUCAUUUAUGAUGCUCUCCUGAUAACUGAUUGUGCUUAUGACGAGGAAAGGUGUGUGUUGUUGAAAUAAAAAUGGUUGAGCUUUAUUCAACCAAACCAGGCCAACCCGUUAAGAUCAUUAGCUAUAACAUGUAAAGAUAGAAUCAUGGUUUUAAACUUCCGUCCGCAACCACAAUUGUACCUGUGACUGUAACGUAAUGCUUUUUCGAUUGUUUGCAACUGCAA